rnacentral:rRNA from 1 species
AGUGAAUAGAUACCCAGGUAGUCCCAGCUGUAAACGAUGCGCGUUAGGUGUAUCGGUGACCACGAGUCACCGAGGUGCCGAAGGGAAACCGUGAAACGUGCCGCCUGGGAAGUACGGUCGCAAGGCUGAAACUUAAAGGAAUUGGCGGGGGAGCACCACAACAGGUGGAGCCUGCGGUUUAAUCGGACUCAACGCCGGGAAGCUCACCGGAUAAGACAGCUGAAUGAUAGCCGGGUUGAAGACUCUGCUUGACUAGCUGAGAGGAGGUGCAUGGCCGUCGUCAGUUCGUACUGUGAAGCAUCCUGUUAAGUCAGGCAACGAGCGAGACCCACGCCAA